GCGGGGCGAGAGAUGGGAAUGACUUCAAAACUCUUAUCCAGAAGACAAAAAAAUAUCAAAAAGCAGAAGCUGGGUAGUAAUUCUCCUGCUUCACAAAACAUAUAAGAGACUGAAGCUAAUUAUGGUAAGAGGUUAGACAAACUUGCUUUCCACAAUAUUUGCCAAACUCAACUUUUCCUAAACAUAGCAGGAUAUAACACACAAAAAGGUGGAAGACUGCAAAGCUGCACAAGUGGCAAUAAGUAACGGAAUGGAGACAAGACCCUGCCCGAGUUUUGUUUCCAUUAUAGUCAACUAUUUGCACAAAAAACCAGGUGAGUCCAGGCAUCUGGACUCCACGGUCCAAGCGCUGGACAUAGAACAGGACCUUGUCCUCUUCUUUGCUUUCCUCCCUGUCUCUCAUGGAGGGAGGUCUAAUUCACACCUGUGUUCCCUUCUUGGCCUGUCUAAUCCCAUAUAUCCUUCACGGUGCUGCUUAGGCCCCAUUUCCCCAUGAAGUCUACCCAGAUGCUGUGAGUUCUUUAUAUUUUACGAGCGACACCCUCCAGGACAGUCAGCAUCCUCUCCUAAGAUCCCUUAUAAAAACAACAAUGCCUUCUAUAUUCCAGUAUGUAGCAAAGAGGAACAAGUAAGGAAACUGCUCUUGGCUCGAAGACAGGGCUUCACAAGCGGUUUAGAAUCUUCCCUGAGACUCUCCCUUCUCCUUGGGGUCCUAGAAAUCCCACCUUUGCUGCCAUCCUUGCUUCUAGCCCAGGAAUAAUGCAAAAUGACUAUGUUUUAUAGAGAGCUUUAGCGUUUACAAAAUGGUUUUACUUAUUUAAUCCCAUUUGACUCUUCGGUCAGUACUGAGACAGGUUAUCAACCCAUUUUACUCAUGAGAAAGGAAGAGUCAAAGAUUAUGGGACUUGACUAUAGUUCAACUCUAAUUCCAAAGUUCAUGCUCUUUUCAUCCUUUUGGUUCAGUAGUGGGCAAAAGCCCUCUUAUUUUUCUUGCUUAAUUUAUCUGAGAUAGGCUGGAAUUGUCAAAGGGAACUUGACUAAAAAGUAUGUAGCAAAUACAUAAUGAAAAUAUAAACAGCAUAAAAUGGGUAAGUUAAUGAAAAGGUAGGUUAACUGAGGUCUGAAUCUAGCUUCUUUAUCCCUGCCUCCAGGACCUGGCCCCCAAGGGCAUUUUUUCUUCCAGCUUUAUUAAGAUAUAAUUGACAUAUAACAUCGUGUAAGGUUUAAGGUGUGCCAUGUGUUGAUUUGACACACUUAUAUAUUGCAAAAUGAUUACCACUGUAGCAUGGGCUAACACCUCCAUUGCUUCACAUAAUUACCAUGUUUUUCUCUUUUGUGGUGAGAAUAUUUAGGAUCUACUCUCCUAGCAACUUUCAAGUAAAUAAUACAGGAUCCCAAGGGCAUUCUUAAGUUUCCCAGUGCCUCCACUUCCAGAAGGGGAGGGCUGGGCAAGAGCAAGAACUGCCAAGUAAUAAUGACUAAUAUUAAGUGAGCACUUAUUGUGUGCCAAGGCACCAUUCCGAGUUCUUUACUUAUAUUACCUCAUUUACUUUUUUCAAAAACUCUAGAGGUACAUGCAGUUAUUACCUCCAUUUUACAGUCAAAGGCAGAGAGAACUUCUAGAACUUGCCCAAGGUCAUGUAGCUGUUAGCAGGUGACAAGCCUUUUGGCUCCAGAGUCUGUGCUUCCAAUCACUAUACUUCACAAGCUCUAAGGGGCAUGUGAAAGGCCCCAGUAGACAGCAUGGGACUUAGAUGAAUAGACAGGAAUAGAAUUUCCAGGAGAGGAUUGAAGUUCACAGAGCAGCCAUUCAGUACUCUCUUUUUAUUGUCACUCCUCAUCUACUUAUACUGCUUUCUCACCAUUCCUUCUGUGUUGAUAUUUUGUCUCCAACUAGAUAAGAAGUUCCCUGAUGUCUGGGACAUACCUUGUGCUUCUCUGCUCCUACCCAGGACCUGGCAUAGCAUGAGCCCUUCAAUAAGACAGCUGUCUCCUGGAUGAUUUUCAGCAAAGAAUUUAUACUCACAAUGGCAACAAGUUCUGAUCCUAUAAGAAGUUGUGGCAAACCACAGUGAAGAGGAGAAUGGACUUCUUGGUUCAUAGAUUCAACAGGGAAGUAAGGGACAGAGGCAAGAAAUUAACAUAUACUAGCAUCUACCUUGCACCAAGCACCACACUGGGCAGGCUGCAUAAGACAUCUCAUUUAACUCUCAGUUUAAUUAACUCUGUGAGUUGGGCAUUGUUGCUAUGGUCUGAACGUUUGCAUCCCCCACCAAAUUCAUAUGUUGAAAUCCUAAUGCCUGAUGUGAUGGUAUUAUGAGGUGGAGCCUUUGGGAGGUGCUUAGGUCAUGAGGGUGGAGCCCUCAUGAAUAAGUUAGUGUUCUUAUAAAAGAGACCCCACAGAGAUCUCUAGCCCUUUCCACCAUGUGAGGGCACAGCGAGAAUGUGCUAUCUAUGAACCCAGAAGGAGGCCUUCACCAGAACUUGACUCCGCUGGUACCAUGAUCCUGGACUUCCAGCUCCAUAACUGGACAUCCAACUUAUUCACGUCAUUCCGGUUAAACAUGGCGGAGAGGGCAGACAGGCCUGGGAAUUGGUCCUGGUGCCAGCAAAGGGCAGGGGCAAAUGACCCGGGAAACUCAACAGACGGGAAAUAUCUUCAACAUCAGCUGUUCAGAGGCGAAGUGUUGCAUCAGUUGUCUCAAUCAGGAUUGACAAACUAUGGCCUGAGUGCCAAAUCUGGCCCUGUUUCUGUCAAUAAAGUUUUAUCGGGCCACAGCCACACCCAUGCAUAUACUUAUUGUCUAUGGCUGCUGUACAACUGAGUUGAGUCUUUGCCACAGAGACCUUAUGGCCCUCAAUGCCUGAUGUAUCUCCUAUUUGGCCUUUUACAAAAAAAGUUUGCCCAACCCUGGUCUAGAGUAGGGGCCUCGGGAGGUCACCAGGGAGAGACCACUCCAGGCUGGCGCACUCAAGGUGGCUUCACACAGGGGUUUGAACUGUGCCUGGAAGACUGCUAGGAUCAAGCCAGGGAGGAAGGGGUGGGAGAGGGUGUUCCAGGCAAGGAAGGCUCAAGGCCAUGGCAAUUACUAGGGAAAAGUGGAAUGGAGGAAUUAUUUGAGACAGGAAUAAGAUGGAAGGAUGGAUGUAAAGGUUAGGUCUGAAGAGCAAACAGCCUUGAAUGCCAGGCGAAAAAUAUGAUAAAACAUGCCAUUUUCCCAUACCAGCCUCUUCGUGGGUAGAAGGGGGCAGGCAAGUGACUUUUAAAGGCCAUUCAAGCACUGAGAAUAAAUUUUUAGAAGUACUGAUGCCUUGCCCCACCUCAGAGACUGUCUUAAUUGGUCUCAGGUGAAACAUUGUUUUUUUUUUUUAAACUUCCCAGGUGACCCUAUUGUGCAUUUGGGAACCUCUUUCUAGAUGAAGGCAAUGGCGAGGCACGUCCCUGUAGCAGCCCAGCUCAGGGCCAGGUCUAUGCAGCAGGUGCCCAACACAUGUGGGUCAAAUUAAGUCAGCAAUAUUGGCUUGUACCAGAGCCAGCCUGAGGAGCCUCUGUUUUACUAGAGUCAGCUCUGUAACAUUCAGUUGGCCACAUGGUUUCCAAUAAAAGAAAUCAUUUCUGCCUGCCCUUGCCUAAUCCUGGAAAAGCCCAUGAUGCUCAAUGCAAUAUUGAGUCUGUUUAUAAAUUUGGGCAUUUAUAGAUUUUUCUCUCACGGUUAUUUUAUCGUGACCAUUUACAAGGCCUUACACAAUUUGCUCUCAGCCUUGUUACCUCUCUGAUCUUCUCUCCCACACACAACCCCGAUGACUCUACUUCUGCCACACUACACUAGCUUCUUUGUUGUUCCUUGAGCACAUUGGGCACGUCCCUGCCUCAAGGACUCCACACUGGCUCUUCAACUGCCUGGGGUGCUCUUCCUUUCUCUUCCUCCAGACAAGUGCAAUGCUCAAUAGCUCACACUAAAGUCUCUGCUCCAGCAUGGCUUUCUCAGCGAGGCCUCUCCUGAAUUGCAUGCUCUUCCCCACAGAGGCACCAUCCAUCCUUCCUACCCUGCUUAAUUUUUUUCCAUAGCACUUAUCACCUUCGAGUAUACUAUGUCAUUUACUUCUUGGUGUUUAUUUUCCAUUUGCCCUAGUAAAAUGUAAGCUGUAGGAGAGAAGGGAUUUUUGUCUGUUUUGUUCUCUGCUGCAUCCCCAGUGCCUUCAGUGGUGCCCAGCACAUAGAAGAAACUCAGGAAGCAUGUGUGUAUUGCAUCAGUACUUGCAAUGCUUUUACUCAUCCUUCAAGAAUAAGUUUCAACAAUUCCGUGGUCAACCCUUCUCUUUCUACUUUGUAAAGAAAGGAGUCCUCCCUCCUUUGUUCCCUUUGGCUUAUUCUGCAACUCUUCAGAGCUUUUCUCACACAUUAUUGACUUUUCUGUCUCUCUGACUAUUUCUGAGCCCCUCCAAGGCUGGGAGAGGGGCAGAGGACCUACCAUCUAGUGGAGGCUGAACAGGUAUGUGUGAAGGAAAUGAGCCAGGAUCAGCAACAGAAGCUUUGGACUAUCCUUUUCCUCACAAUUACACCUUCUGCAUUUGCACACCUACGGAGGUCUCCAUUUUAUUCUAACAUCUUGACUUGAGUGGUCUGAAAUGUGUCAUCACCACACAGGAGGUACAUGAGUUUCAAUGAGAAAAGCCUAAAAAGUCUGAUGCUUUUGAGAACCUAUUAGCUGUAUGGAUUAUCUUUCCCUUCCAAUGUCAAUCUACUUACCAAGUCCUGUGGAUGUUACUUCCUAUAUAUGCCUGAAUUGAUCAUUCACUUCUUUCCAUUCUCUCCAGCUCUCUAGUCUAAGCCACAGUUCUCUCUUAUGUGGAAUACGGCAACCACUUCCUAAGUGGUGUGUCUAUCUACUCUCUUCCCAUAGAAGCCAUCGUCUACACAGCAGCCAGAACAAGCUUUUAAAAACACAAAUCAGAUGAUGUUUCUCUCCUGCUGUUGAACCAUUCAAAGACUUCCCAUUGCACUUAGCGCAAAGUAUGAAAGACUUACCAUGGCUUACAGGGUGCCAGCAAUUUGCUCCCACUUCGCUCCUCAGCCUCAUCUUGGGCCACUCUCCACUUCAUUAUUACUGUGAUGGUUCAAAGGCUUUAGGUUUUCUUGCUUCACAACCUCUGCUGGCUCCUCUGCCUGGAAUGCCUCUGCCAGGAAUGCCCUCUCUUCACUUGGGUAACUUCCACUCACCCUCCCAAUCUCAGCUCAGAUACCCCCUUCUGAGAGAAACCUUGCCUAAAGUUCAGACCAGGGAUGCUGUCCUUCACAUGCCCCCAAAGUGCCCAGUUCAUUCUCUUUUUAUCACAGUCCUCCUACUUGAAUUACUUUUCUCACCAGACUUGAAGUGCCCCCACUAAAAUUCAAACUGCACAAGGGCAGCCACGUCCAUCUGUAUCCUCAGUAUCUAGGUCAGUGCCGAGUGCAUAGUAAAUGCUCAAUAAAUUUUUCUUGAAUGAAUGAAUGAGGACUAGGUUUGUCUGUCUUACUUAAUGUGUAUCCCUGGCCCCCAGCACAGUGCCUGGACAUAGGAGACACUCAACAAAUAUUUACUGAAUGAGUAAAUUGAUCUAUCUUGAGAUAUUUCCUUCUUAGCCUCUUUACCAAGACUUUCAACUUUGAAAAUUAAAUUGUUUUCUGAUCUACCCUCCUACCUUGAGGGGUUUACAUGUGAACAAUGACUGUAAGCUCCACCUUAGACUCCAGACCUGGGUCCCAUGCAUUCUAGCCACAGCUCCCUCAUCGGCGUGAUCUGAUUUGUAGGAGCAGCCCAGUCACAACUUCGGUGUUGGAAGAAAAGGUUUUUUUCACCUUUUUGCAUAAGAUUUUGGGUCAACAAGAACAUAGCUCUUAGCAGAGAUAUCUGGAACUGCAUCUCAUGCCAGCCAGGCCCUGCAAUUCUCAGCACUUCAAAUGAGUAGAGAAAAAAUUGUGCAAGCCACCUGUCUUGGGUGGUCAGAAGGAAAACACCACUGCCUGACAGCUGUGUGUGGGCCUUGGCCUCACUGCCUGGCUUCUCCAGGCUGGAAGGCUCUGAGAAGAGGUGCUGUUACACGUGCAGGGCCCUGGGGAGCAUGGCGAUGCUGCUGAGAGGCUGCUGUUUGUGCUGGCUGUGACCCUUGAGCCCCUGGCUGGGGAGAGGGGCCAGGCACAAUGACUUCUUUCAUGGAAAAACUUUACUCUGUAAACGAACUCAGGUUUACAUGCCUGCAUCCCUCUCCUCUUGGUAAAUCACAAGGCACGAGAAAAAGCUUGUGCCAUUUGGCUCUCAGUGACAUGAGUUUCUAGCAGAGAUGUCACGAGGAGUCCCCCUGACUGGGGCACUGCAGCUUGCUCACUCCCAAAGGCGAGUUUGUGACUAAAUACAGGGCAGACCAAACCUUAUGUAUAUAUUCUAUAAGACCGUCUAACAGGUUCUGGCCCUAAAUAAGACAUGCUGGUUAAAGCUACUGAACUGCUUUGCUUAAGCCACCUGUUUUGUUACUGGAGGCACAUGAGGUCAUCUGACAAAGAUCCAAGGCCUUUAUAAUACAGGUCUUCUCUUUCCUGAACUUCCUGAGGAAGAUCUUUACUCCUGUAAGUUAUGUUUGAUUUUUUCUUUUAGGCUUUUUUACCUCAUGGAGAAAGCCUAACCCAGUGACAGGACACAGGACUGAGUGCUACAGUGGGAAGAAUGUGGUCCUCUUCCGAAACAGGAGACGUGUGAUCCCUGCCAUAGACCUUGGGAUCUUUUCUACAUAAUAAGAUGAAUGGACCAGAUCAGUGGUCAGCAAACACUUUCUGUAAAGGGACAGAUAAGAAAUCUUUUAGGCUUGUGGGCUGUAGGGUUUCUGUCACAAGCACUCAGCUUUGUCAUUGUGGUAUGAAAGAAGCCAUAGACAAGACAUAGGUAAAUGAAUGGGUGUGGCUUCAUGUCAAUAAAACUUUAUUUACAAAAACAAGUGAUGAACUAGAUUUGGCCUAUGGGGCAUAGUUUGCCAAUCCUGGGAGACAUUAUCUCUUAAAAGCAUCUAUGUAACAAUUCUAGAACAUGAUUAUCAAAUUUGGGUAUCAGCUUGGUCUAGGAAAAUAUUUAAAACAUACGUGCCAUGUAUAUAUGUGCGUGUAUAGGUAUUCAUAUGCCCUCAUAUAUACAUAAAAAUACACACACACACUCACAUAUAUAUGUCUGUCCAUUUCUGACCAAGAUGGAGUAAGAGAGACUGAAUUUACCCUCUUGCCUAAACAAUAAAAAAAUGAACAAAAUAUAUGAAGCAAGAGUUUUCAAGACAUUGGACAUUAGGCAGUGAAGGACACUGAUCCCUGAAGAGUGGAAAACUAAACGAGGUGAGCCCUGUGCUGCCCCAGCUUAGUGCCUUGAGAGAGUUUCCAGGCUGCAGCAUAGGGAAACCCAGGUGGAGCCCAGCGGACUCCCUGAAUUUAGAAGAGGAAGCUGAAAGUACAGGGAGACCAACAAAGCAGCUAGAGUUCACAGAACAGAGUACCAGAAAGGAGAGAAUGUGGGGCAUAAUGGUUAAGUUCACGGGCUGUUUUGGGGGCCUGGGGUUUGCGGGUU